GGCUUCGGUGGUGAAGUGGUAGCACGCGCCUCUUAUGGAGGAAACGCGGGUUCAACUCCCGCCUUGAGUCG